rnacentral:lncRNA from 1 species
GCAAGUCCUGUCACAGUCCCAAUUUACAAAUGCCUCGUACAAAGAAACACCAGAUAGUCCUGCAUACCUCAAGCGGCCGUUUACGCAUGAUGCCCCUAAGCGGAAACGUUACAGCUCCAAACCAGGCAAUCGGACAUCCUACACCCUUCCGACAAUCUCUAUUAGGAAUGUGCGGAUCCAACCAUCGAUCCACACGAGAUGCAACAAAGUCUUCAACUCGACGCAACGAACGCGUGACCUGUCAUGGCCUGUGAUGAGUGACCCCUUCGCUUCUUACCCAGGCCUGCAAGAGUGUGCGCCACUCUCAAGAAGCAACACACAACCGCCAAACAGACUUGGUGAGACAAUCGAAAUACAGCCCUCACCAGAUGGUGCCUAGGAACCUUAAACCCCAAACACUAAACUCUACACACAGACAGACACACACACAGACACACACAAAAAAGGUCACCGGCGCGGCUCCCACGGACUCCCCCCAUGAAACCCUUCCCCGUGUGCACCCAUGCGGCGCAACCGACAACUACCACACCCAGCUAAUCCACAACACGGCUCAGCUCGGAAUGGAUCGACUCAUCAACACACACAUAAACGAGAUCGAUAUUGAAAGCGGAAUUGUCGAACAAGCAAUGUAGCAUACGAUUAGAACGCCGCUGCAGCCGCACCGGCGCCGCGAUGUAUGCGGAUGCACUGCGACGCGGUCCAGGUGGAUCCAGGUUCCAAGCUCGUUAUCGGAUCCACCAGGCCAGGCUCCAGGCACACCAUGCGCCGCCACUCGGGAUCUCCCAGGUCGGAGAUGGAGGCCCCACGCUUCGCACCGGGGUUCCAAAGUACGGCAUCAGGGAAG